UCGUAAACCCUUAUUAUUUUUCUCAAUUCUCCCACAAAGUAUCCAUCUCCAAUCUGACCGUCUUUCGACCCCGUCACCAUCUGCCACUACUCGUGGCCAUCUGUUCACUCCGACGUGGCCGUCUAUUCGCUCUGACGUGCUCAUCUAUUCACUCUAGCGCUGCCAUUAACGAACGACGAAACCCCUGCAAUCCCUCUGCAAUCUUCAAACCUUUUCAAUUCGUUCUCGUCUUCUCCAGUGUUGUCGUUCGUGCCCGUUGUCUCCGGUGCUGCCAUUUGUGCCCGUCGUCACCUCCUCUACCGGAUUCCUUUUCAUAGGUGAAGUUCGAACUUGCUGCUUAUGAGAAGUUAGUAUUUGGAAAAUUAGAGAUGGUAUUCUUGUUGUUACAUCACAUCCACUUAUCAGUCCUAUUUUGUUCAAUCCGGCUGUGGCCGUAAUCUCCAAUCUGUCGCAUUCUCUUGAACAUUCAAUUUGCAUCUGUGACCUCCUCUACUGGUUUAUUUUGAGGCCAACUUAGACAUCUACACAAUGGACAAGUCAUGGAUGACCCAAAAUAGGAUGUCAAGAGAAUAUGAUUUAUGAGUCGAAAGGUUCAUUAAAUUUAGGUUGAGUCAUGCCAAAUGUUCUAAUUCAAUUAGAUGUUCAUGUUUGAAUUGCGGCAAUCGUUUACUUAAGGAUGUCUCAACAGUUCAGUAUCAUUUGAAUGCCAAUGAAAUUGAUAAAAGUUACAAGAUAUGGUUCUAGCAUGGUGAAGAAUUAACACAGAUAACGUUACCAACACGAUGGAAAAUACAGUGGUUAAACUGAUGAAAACGUCGAUUUAUUUAAUACAGUUAAUAUGAUUCAAUUCGUUCAAGAACAAUCUUCUAAUGCAUCCAAUACCUUUGACACUAUGUUUGAUGAGGCGAAGAAACCCUUAUACCCCGGAUGUAAGAAAUUCACAAAGUUGUCAGCCCUCGUGAGAUUGUAUAACCUGAAGGUUAGGUAUGGUUGGAGUAACACUAGCUUCUCUGAAUUACUGUCCAUAAUAAGUGAUCUAUUACUUGAUAACAACGAAGUUCCAUCUUCCUUAUACGAAGUGAAGAAAACACUAGGUGCCUUAGGACUAAGUUACCAAAAAAUUGAUGCAUGUCCUAAUGAUUGUUGUUUGUACAGAAAAGAAUAUGAAAACAUGACCAAGUGCCCUAAGUGUGGUUUUUCAAGGUGGAAGAUCGCUAAUAACUCAAACAAGGAAAAAUGUGGUGUGCUUGCCAAACAUAUGUGGUACUUUCCAAUAGUUCCAAUAUUUAUAAGAAUGUUUAAGCGAUUCGAAAAUGCUAAGAACUUGUGUUGGCAUGCGGUAGAUAGAAAGGUUGAUGGUACUUUGAGACACCUGGCUGACACUCCAUCAUGGAAGUUGAUUGACCACAUGUGGCCAACCUUUGGGUCAGAACCGAGAGGUUGAUGGUACCUUUGGGUUUGUCUACUGAUGGAAUUAACCAAUUUGGAGAUAUGUCGACGACGUACAGUUGUUGGCCUAUUAUCACUACCUUCCACCAUGGCUGUGUAUAAGAAGAAAAUAUUUGAUGUUGACAAUGUUAAUAUCAAGUCCAAAGCAAUCGAUAUACGAUAUCACUACGUACUUAGCACCCUUAAUUGAUUACCUACAAAUGUUGUGGAAAUAUGGAGUUCAUUGUUUCGAUGCAUAUAAGGAAGAAUACUUCACACUGCGGGUUGUCUUAUUGUGGACCAUCAACGAUUUUCCAGCAUAUGAUAAUCUAUGCAGUUUUAGUGUGAAAGGAUAUAAGGCUUGUCCAAUAUGUGGAGAGAAGACUAGUUCAAUAAGAUUGCAACAAGGAAAAAAAAUUUCAUACAUGAGACACAAGGAGUAUUUGCCUAGACAUCAUCCAUACAUAUUACAAAAAAAAAAUUAAUGGGAGGCAAGAGCAUGGAAUUCCUCCACAACCCUUGUCGGGGGAGAUCACGUACCUUAAGCUGAAAGACAUGAUAUUUUCAUGUGGGAAGAAGUGUGGAAGGAUCGUGCAUAAUGAAGGUGGCAAUGACUAAUGGAAAAGAAGACCAGAAUUUUUUCAACUACCAUAUUCGAAACACUUGCAUGUUCAACACUUGUUUAGACGUACUGCAUAUUGAAAAAAUGUAUGCAUGAACGUAGUGGGCACCUUGCUUGAUAUACCAGAAAAAAGUAAGGAUGAAAUGAAUACUAGACUUGACUUAGUCGAAAUAAAAAUUAGACCAAAAUUGCCACCAACGUUUACCGGUAAUAGAACUUACAUCCCUGCGGCAUGUUAUACACUAUCAAGAGAAGAGAAGUAUCAGUUUUGUAAGACUUUGUCAAAAAUUAAAGUUUCAUAAGGUUAUUCAUCAAAUAUUAGUAGUCGUGUCUCUUUGGAUGACUUAAAACUGAUCGGCCUUAAGUCGCACAACUGUCAUGUUUAAUGCUGCAACUACCUCCAAUUGCAAGACGUUCAAUCCUACCGAAGAAUGUGAGGUACACAAUCAGAAGAUUGUGCUUUUUCUCAAAGCGAUUUGCGCCAAAAAGUUUAUCUGUCUCAGAUCUUGAUGCAUUGCAUGGAGAAAUAGUUCUGACUUUAUGCAAUCUUGAGAAGUCCUUCCCACCCUUGUUCUUUACAAUCAUGGUUAACCUUAUCGUUCAUUUCGUUAGAGAAGUAAAACUUUGUGGACCUGUAUAUUUGCGGUGGAUGUACCCAUUUGAACGGUGCAUGAAAAUGUUGAAAAGUUAUGUUCGCAAUAGAACUCGACCGGAAGGAUGCAUUAAAGAAGCAAGCAUAUGUGAGGAGGCAACUGAAUUCUGUUCAGAUUUUCUUUCUGGACUAGAUCUCUAUUGGACUUGGGUCACUCAAUUCAAGGGCAGACAUACAAAGUGAUUGACCACUGUCAGCAGGAACAUACGUUUGACCCUAUGUCCAACAACUGAAGCAAGCAUAUCUUCAUGUCUUACAGAACACUGGAGAAGAUAUGUUACAGAACAUACGUUGAGUGAUGAGUGAACUACAUGAAGGAAAAGUUCUCUCGAACACCAUACGUUGGCUUGCACUGUCGGACCUGACUGUGAAGGCAUAUGUGUUAGCAAUUGACUUUGAUAAGAUAAUUCCAUUUUCAGAUAUGACUACUUCAGAAUCUACCGUUAUCAAGUUUUCUUUUCAUGUUCAACAGUUUCUUUGUUUUCAAAUUUCGAAGAAUUUUAUGUAGUAGAUAUUUUAAUUUGAAAGUGUUAUGUGUGUUACCAUAUUUAGUAUGAACUUUGCGUAAUUAAGUGUGCAUGAAUCAUUUCCUAUUUUCUUUUAGAACCAAGUGUUUAUUAACGUUUAAUUAUGAAAGUCAUGUAUCGAUUCUAAUAUUAGACUUUUCGGUUAUGCUAACACUUUUUUGGAUA